rnacentral:rRNA from 1 species
CUUGGCGACCAUAGCGUUGCGGACCCACCUGACUCCAUGCCGAACUCAGAAGUGAAACGCAAUAGCGCCGAU